rnacentral:ncRNA from 1 species
AUAAUUACUAAGAAGAGAUAAGUAACGAUAAAACUAUCUUAAGAGAGCUUGUAACUGCUGAAAGCAAGCGUUAUGUAUAUCGAGAAAAUGGUCUUGGAGUAAUAUAUUGCUGAGCAGCUUUGAGUAAGGCAAUAUUGGAUGGAUUCCAUUAGAAAUUCUAGAUAUAUUUCAUUUUUUUAAAUGAGUAUUUCUUAAGGCAUUUUAGCGUGAGUUAAAAUGUGAAGCUAGGUGGUACCACGAAAACAAUUCGUCCUUGAA